AUGGCACGCCGUGGCGGCUUCUUCGGGUAUGACCCGUAUGACUACUACUACCCGAGCUCCUACGGCUACGAGGCCUACCCGUACUACAGCCCCGCUGCCGCCGAUCCCUUCUUCCUGGACGCCGAGCCUCUUGUCAGGGAGCGGCUGCGCCCCGCCCGCCGGAGGGCCGCGGCGCAGCAUGACGGCGGCUUCUUCCCUGGCUUCGGCGCCGCCGAGCCGGCCGCGCGGACCACGGCGCAUCCCAGGCCUAGCAGCGGGUCUCCGAAGAGCUGCCCGGACUGCUUUGAGGUCGAGGUCACGGGUCCCGACUCCGACUCGCCACCGGCGAUUCCAAAGAAGACGGCGCCGUCCGCGGAGGAGGCCGCGGUGAGGGUGCAGGCGGCGGCGCGCGGGCUGCUCGCUCGUCGCAUGGUGCGGGAGGUGCGCGCGGUGGAGCGGCAGGCGGAGGCCGUGGCCGCGCGGGUGGCGGCCGAGGCGGAGGUGCUCCGCGCGGACGCCCGUGCGCGGAUCGGCCUCGGGGAGGAGCUCAUGCGCCUGCUGCUGCGACUCGACGGCGUGCGCGGCGCCCGGGAGUACCGCAGGAGGGUCACCCGCCGCGUGCUCGCGCUACAGGACGCGGUCGACACGCUCGAGGCCGCGCCCGCGGUGGUGACCGCCGAUGUGCCGGAAGUUCAGGAUGCAGAGGAAGAAGCAGAGAGCGAGAUGGAGCCGGAGCUGCCGGUUGAGGACAAUACUGCGUCGGAUUUUCUGGUUGCCGAGACAACUGACACGGCGGCGAUGGAGGUUGACACGGCGAGUCCCAUCGUCGUCGACGAAGCCGGGCAGAACGAGACGGGACUGGUGGCCGAAGGCGAGAAGGCCUCGGAGGCGGAGGGCGAGUGGGAGAUGGUGGCAACAGGGGACGGCGACGUUUCCACCGGCGAGGAGGGCCCUGCACUACCAAAAGCACAGCAGCAGCAAGAACAGGCACAGGAGGAGAAGAAGAAGGAGACGGUGACCACCGACGGGCUGGAUGCGAAGAAACUGAUGGAGAUGGUGGCAGCGCUGUGCGAGCGGAGCGCGCAGCAGUGCGCGCUCAUCGGGGCUCUGGCUGAGCGGGUCGACACGCUGGAGCGCUCCGUCCGGCGGGUAGAGGAGGCCGACCGGCGCAGACGGAGGAACAAGAAGACCAACAAGAACGGCAAGAAGAACACAAGUAGCUUCUACAGCGACUAG
rnacentral:rRNA from 1 species